rnacentral:sRNA from 1 species
UCUCACUCAAACUGCUCAUCUAGCCCCACAUAAUCAUGCGCCCCUAAUGGUUAGCCGAAAUGUGUUCAUUUCUCUUGAUCUCCACAUUGGCGAUGGCUACCACCAAAUAGCCCCGGUUCUCUCAAAGGAAAAGGGGCUUUUC